ACGAAGAGGCCCAACAUCACAAUCCAACGAUGCUUACACUGUUAAAGUGAAAUUAAAAGACAAGGACGCGUGAGUAGCCACCGAACUCCUGUACGCGCUCCAAUCCACCUCACGCGAAGGGAAGUUCACGGAAGAAUCAGCAACGGCUCUAAGCGAUUCCCUUUUCCGUCGAAAUACAUGGAAAGGCAAGCUAAGGACAGUUGUUCUUCGUCGUCUUCUACCUCUCCAGCAGUCUGAUGCAGCGCGACAAAGCUACUGCUGUAGCAGACCUGCGUCUCCGUCCUUGGCAGCUCAAGAUUGAUCCACGUAGCGUCUCUAGGACAGAAGAUUGAUCGAGGGCGUCCAUUCGUCCUUUGCCCUUUCGAAAUAGUUUGAAGGCUCAGAAAAAGAGUGUCUCCCCUUAAUUGUGAAAGUUUUUGGGGUUCAAAUUUUGAAUGGACCCAUUGUUCUUUGGAUUUUUCCUCAUCUCCCCCCAAAUUUCGACCUAUAUAAAACUGACUUUCUUCUCUAUUAAUGGGGGUGGGGGGAUAUUUUGAGAAGAAAAUACCAGAGAGGUUUUUGUGAGUUGGGAAAUUUUUGGCGAAGAACUACGUAAGCCGCAUUAAAAUACUCCUUGGAAUUGUUCUUGUUUCGUUGUCUGAAGAUUGCUAGGACUCGUAGAAACUCCCAGGGUUCGGAGUUUGUGGUGAAGUACUCCGUAAAUCGUUGCCGUCCCAGUUGGGCUGCCCCUAUAAAGUCCCUCGGGAAUCCUUGUUUCCUCUUGCAUCCGUUAAUUGAGCUGGGAAAGCUCAAUUUUUCCCAUCGAUUCAGCUAUCUUGGCAACUUUAGGAGGUAGCUGGAAAGGCUGAAGACAGCAAUAUAUUGCUGGAAAUCAAUUUUCCAGCCCCCAAAAAAGCCUAAAACACGUUGAUAUACCAGCUAUAUACACUGGCAUACAGCUGGAAUUACCAAAACAGGUGCAAAUGUGGAAAUGCAGAUCAGAAAAUACAGCAUACAAAAUUAGAUACAAUCCAGGUUUCAGAAGGUUCAAAAUAUACUGGAUACGCGUCAUAUACAGCGGUUUACAUUAAGUCUAUACCAUAUUUUUAAAAAAGAAAUGGGGCCAAAGCCCAUUUGAUUUCCCUGCAGAAUUUUGUGAGAAAUGGGCCAAGACCCAAAAGAGAACAGCAAAAAAAAAUGAAGGAAAACAUGGGCCAAAGUCCAAGUUUAACUACUUUCUCUCCAUAUAUUUUUAGUAUAUUAAUUGACUAGCGUUAUUGAAUUUCGGUUUUAAUUUAAUAAUUCCCGGUGAUAGCUAUUUUUCUUUACUUUAUAUGUCCAAAA